rnacentral:misc_RNA from 1 species
GAUGAAGAACGUAGCGAAAUGCGAUAACUAAUGUGAAUUGCAGAAUUCAGUGAAUCAUCGAAUCUUUGAACGCACAUUGCGCCCGCCAGUAUUCUGGCGGGCAUGCCUGUUCGAGCGUCAUUUCAACCAUCAAGCCCCCGGCUUGUGUUGGGGACCUGCGGCUGCCGCAGGCCCUGAAAAGCAGUGGCGGGCUCGCUGUCACACCGAGCGUAGUAGCAUACAUCUCGCUCUGGGCGUGCUGCGGGUUCCGGCCGUUAAACCACCUUCAUAACCCAAGGUUGACCUCGGAUCAGGUAGGAAGACCCGCUGAACUUAAGCAUAUCAAUAAGCGGAGGA